rnacentral:rRNA from 1 species
UUGGCCCUACGGGACGCAGCAGUGGGGAAUAUUGCACAAUGGGGGGAACCCUGAUGCAGCGACGCCGCGUGGGUGAAGGAGUAUUUCGGUAUGUAAAGCCCUAUCAGCAGGGAAGAACAACGACGGUACCUGACUAAGAAGCACCGGCUAAAUACGUGCCAGCAGCCGCGGUAAUACGUAUGGUGCAAGCGUUAUCCGGAUUUACUGGGUGUAAAGGGAGCGUAGACGGCAGUGCAAGUCUGAAGUGAAAGGCAAGGGCUCAACCCUUGGACUGCUUUGGAAACUGUGCUGCUCGAGUGUCGGAG